UAAGAGGAGAUAAUGACUGGGGGGGAGAGGGAGGCUCAGAUUCGCCUUUGGUCGCUCACUUCCUAGGGCUACAAAUGGCUAUAGCGGUUGCAACAAAUGCCAUCCAAGCUCUUCCUCGCCAUUAUAGCCCCUUCGAAGUGGGAUCCAAAGAGCUUCAUGAGAAGAAGAGAAGGGUUUAAGCUUCGAGAUUUACCCACUGAAUCAGUGCAAUACGCCAUAUCGCGAUCAUCAUCGCCUCCCAUUGUUGUGGAUGUGAUAUGCAUGAGUGUGUGGAUCGGAGAAGAAGAAGAAGAAGCAGCAGCAGCAGAGAAAGAGAGUUUUGAGUGGGGAAACGAAGAUGCAGAAGAUGAUAGUUAGUUAAUUCGGAUUCGGCAAAAAAUUCGGUACGGGUAUAACCCGGAUAAAAUUCGUCUUCUAAUUUUUAAAUAAAAAUUCGUUGAAAAAUACAGCUAAAAAACAGAUUCAUCAAUUAUUCGAAUACAUGAUUUAUACGGAUAUUACACGUUCACCAAUUAAAAAUUCGGGAUAAAAAAUUCGGCUAUUAAACUAAGUUUUUUUCUCUCAAGAUUUAUGCUAUUAGCCAAAAAAAAAAAAAAAAGUAACUAGAAUGUAAUAGAAGAGAUUAUAACCCUCUUUAAUUCUCUCCCUCUCUCUCUAUAUACAUAUAUAUAAAACUCACCGAAACGAUGAAAGGGGAAAAUUAUUAUUUCAUGUAUGCUGUAGAGAUUAAAGAUAAAAAAGAAGUAAUGAAUCUUAAUAAAUGCAUAUUCACAAUGAUGUUGUUACUCAAAACCAUACAAUCAGUAAUUAAGAGAAGAUGAAAUAAAGGAAAGAGAGAGAGAAACUAAAGCAUAAAAAUUUCUUGUAAAGAACCACCCGAUUACUGAUCCAUCGUUGGAGAGAAGAGGCGACGAGGAGGGUUUCGAUUUCUGAAGAGUGAAGAACCCGAUCUUCGAUGUGGCCCCGCGGGGGCUUCCGAUGGCAUUCGGCGAGCGGCCGAAAGGGAAGAUUGGGAGGGGAAGGGAUGGGGACUAGGGUCGGUGGCAGGGCGGCAGGGGUGAGAAGUUAGGGCAAAACUUUUUGAUCGAGUGAUAUGAUAUUUUUUUCUGAAUUUUCGGAAAAAAUACGAAUAGGGAUGUUUUAUUCAUUUUUUUCAAAAAUUCGCGAAUAAUUUAUUCGCGAAUUAUUCACGAAUUAACUAACAUACACCAUCAGAAACUAGUGAUCAAAUGAAAAUAACACGGUCAAGCAAAACCCUUGAUUUGAAAGAAUCUUUGUAAUUCUAGACAAGCUAACAAAUUAACAAGAACAACGCUACUCGUAGACCCAAAAGUUUGAUGAAAAUCCUUAUGCUCUCUCCACCCAAGGGUUUACACGCCCCUUGUCACCUUUCAAUGUUAAAAGACCAAAAAAAAAUUCUUAAUUAUUAUUUUUUGAACAAAAAUUUUGAAAACGAAAGCAUUACUUUUCUCAAGAACAUAUUUUUUUGAAAAAUAUAUAUAUACUUUUUUGAAGAACCAAACAUACGAAAAAAAAAAAAAUACUAAUCUAGCGAGAAAAUUAUUUUCCGGAAUAUUUUUUCGAAAAACAAACACCAUCUAAGAGGAGAUAAUGACUGGGGGGGAGAGGGACGCUCAGAUUCGCCUUUGGUGGCUCACUUCCUAGGGCUACAAAUGGCUACAGCGGUUGCAACAAAUGCCAUCCAAGCUCUUCCUCGCCAUUAUAGCCCCUUCGAAGUGGGAUCCAAAGAGAUUCAUGAGAAGAAGAAGAAGGGCAAGGGUUUAAGCUUCGAGAUUUACCCACUGAAUCAGUGCAAUACGCCAUAUCGCGAUCAUCAUCGCCCCCCAUUGUUGUGGAUGCGAUGUGCAUGAGUGUGUGUGGAUCGGAGAAGAAGAAGAAGAAGCAGCAGAGAAAGAGAGUUUGGGUGGGGGGAACGAAGAUGCAGAAGAUAAUGGUAGAGGCGAAGAUUCUAGAGAGAGCUUCUUUCUUUAUUGGAUUCCAUAAAGAAAGUGAACAGAGUGGAGGCGGUCUCUUCUAUGUAGCAGUUACACAGCAUCGCUUUUGUCGCAAGCCAAUUAAAUUUUUUACAAAUAAAAUAAAAGAUAAGAUAUAUUUAUAAAAAGGGAUAAUUAUAUAGGACUCCUUCAAAAAUCCUAUUAUCCUAUCAAAAAUUUCGACAAUCAUGAAUUAAAAAAUAACUAAUCAUAAUUAAUUAAAAGAUAAAUUAAUUUUUUAAUAUAUAUAUAUAUAUAGUCCGGCUGGAAUACUAUCGAUAGUACCAAGGGAUAGUACCAAGGAUUUAGUACUAUCGAAUUUUCUACCGUUAAAUUUAACCCUUGAUAAUUUUUACCCAUCAGAUUAUACUAUUCAACCAACAACUCACUCAACCUUAAGGGACCCAUAUCAUCCUAACAACACAUUUCUCAAUUCAAAGGCUAAAAAAUUAAUAGCAUCAAUAGCUUAGUGCUAUUAAUAGUAUUCCGGUCUAGUUUUAUAUAUAUAUAUAUAUAUAUAUAUAUAUAUAUAUAUAUAUAUAUAUAUAAUUNGUUAAAAGACAAAAAAAAAAUUCUUAAUUAUUAUUUUUUGAACAAAAAUUUUGAAAACGAAAGCAUUACUUUUCUCAAAAACAUAUUUUUUUGAAAAAAAUAUAUAUACUUUUUUGAAGAACCAAACAUACGAAAAAAAAAAAAAAAUACUAAUCUAGCGAGAAAAUUAUUUUCCGGAAUAUAUUUUCGAAAAACAAGCACCAUCUAAGAGGAGGCUCAAAUUCCCCUUUGGUCGCUCCCUUUGGUCGCUCACUUCCUAGGGCUACAAAUGGCUACAGCGGUUGCAACAAAUGCCAUCCAAGCUCUUCCUCGCCAUUAUAGCCCCUUCGAAGUGGGAUCCAAAGAGCUUCAUGAGAAGAAGAAGAAGGACAAGGGUUUAAGCUUCGAGAUUUACCCACUGAAUCAGUGCAAUACGCCAUAUCGCGAUC
rnacentral:lncRNA from 1 species